rnacentral:rRNA from 1 species
AGCGAACGCUGGCGGCAUGCCUAGCACAUGCAAGUCUGACGGGCGGGGCUUUUGGGCUCUGUCAGUGGCGGACGGGUGAGGAGCGCGUAGGAACGUAUCCAGGGGUGGGGGACAACCGCGGGAAACUGCGGCUAAUACCGCAUGGGGCCUUGUGGGGAGACCCGAAAGGGGGGAGUCCGGGGCCGAAAGGCGAGGGCGACCUCGCCGCCGCUGGAGCGGCCUGCGUCCGAUUAGCUAG